AGUGAACGCUGGCGGUAGGCCUAACACAUGCAAGUCGAACGGCAGCACAGGAGAGCUUGCUCUCUGGGUGGCGAGUGGCGGACGGGUGAGGAAUACAUCGGAAUCUACUCUGUCGUGGGGGAUAACGUAGGGAAACUUACGCUAAUACCGCAUACGACCUACGGGUGAAAGCAGGGGACCUUCGGGCCUUGCGCGAUUGAAUGAGCCGAUGUCGGAUUAGCUAGUUGGCGGGGUAAAGGCCAACCAAGGCGACGAUCCGUAGCUGGUCUGGGAGGAUGAUCAGCCACACCGGAACUGAGACACGGUCCAGACUCCUACGGGAGGCAGCAGUGGGGAAUAUUGGACAAUGGGCGCAAGCCUGAUCCAGCCAUACCGCGUGGGUGAAGAAGGCCUUCGGGUUGUAAAGCCCUUUUGUUGGGAAAGAAAUCCAGCUGGCUAAUACCCGGUUGGGAUGACGGUACCCAAAGAAUAAGCACCGGCUAACUUCGUGCCAGCAGCCGCCGUAA
rnacentral:rRNA from 1 species